rnacentral:rRNA from 1 species
GGCCUAACACAUGCAAGUCGAGCGCACCCUUCGGGGCGAGCGGCGGACGGGUUAGUAACGCGUGGGAACAUACCCUUUUCUACGGAAUAGCCUCGGGAAACUGAGAGUAAUACCGUAUAAGCCCUUCGGGGGAAAGAUUUAUCGGGAAAGGAUUGGCCCGCGUUAGAUUAGAUAGUUGGUGGGGUAAUGGCCUACCAAGUCUACGAUCUAUAGCUGGUUUUAGAGGAUGAUCAGCAACACUGGGACUGAGACACGGCCCAGACUCCUACGGGAGGCAGCAGUGGGGAAUCUUAGACAAUGGGCGCAAGCCUGAUCUAGCCAUGCCGCGUGUGUGAUGAAGGCCUUAGGGUCGUAAAGCACUUUCGCCAGAGAUGAUAAUGACAGUAUCUGGUAAAGAAACCCCGGCUAACUCCGUGCCAGCAGCCGCGGUAAUACGGAGGGGGUUAGCGUUGUUCGGAAUUACUGGGCGUAAAGCGUACGUAGGCGGAUCAGAAAGUAUAGGGUGAAAUCCCGAGGCUCAACCUCGGAACUGCCUUGUAAACUCCUGGUCUUGAGUUCGAGAGAGGUGAGUGGAAUUCCAAGUGUAGAGAUGAAAUUCGUAGAUAUUUGGAGGAACACCAGUGGCGAAGGCGGCUCACUGGCUCGAUACUGACGCUGAGGUACGAAAGUGUGGGGAGCAAANGGGAUUAGACACCCUGGUAGUCCACACCGUAAACGAUGAAU